UACCAGUUUCGUUCAAAUAAUGGUGGGGAAGAUUCGACAACUGCAACAAAGAGUUAUCAGUUACUCCCACAUAAUAGAGGAGAAGAGUCGACAACUGAGACUAGAAAUUACCAGUUUCGUUCAAAUAAUGGUGGGGAAGAUUCGACAACUGCAACAAAGAGU